GCCGCGCCGGAUGUUUUGGGCGGAAAAUAGUCACCUGCCCUGUCUUCCUUUUACGUCGUUUGAUUCUGGCCACAACUGAGUCUGAGCAAAAGGAUUACUAUCACAGCACUGGAAGGACAGUCGCCCACCUCCUGUAAUACAAUAGACUGAGAAGGGGAAAUAUGUCUGGAAGCUUCUACUUUGUAAUUGUGGGGCAUCAUGACAAUCCAGUAUUUGAAAUGGAAUUUCUACCAGCUGGUAAAGUAGAGUCUAAGGAUGAUCAUCGCCAUCUUAAUCAAUUCAUAGCUCAUGCCGCUCUUGAUUUAGUAGAUGAAAACAUGUGGUUGUCUAACAAUAUGUACCUGAAGACUGUGGACAAGUUUAAUGAGUGGUUUGUUUCUGCGUUUGUCACUGCAGGACAUAUGAGAUUUAUAAUGCUUCAUGAUAUAAGGCAAGAAGAUGGAAUUAAAAACUUCUUUAGUGAUGUCUAUGACCUUUAUAUAAAGUUUGCGAUGAACCCAUUUUAUGAACCCAAUUCGCCAAUUCGAUCAACUGCAUUUGACAGGAAAGUUCAGUUUCUCGGGAAGAAACAUCUUUUAAGCUGAGUUACUGCAUCUGUAUUGUAACAAAUAGCGAAAUGCAUGUAUGACACAUUCUGAACCUAAGAUGACCAAUCUGCCACUAAAUACUUGAGAUGUUUAAAAAGUACUUCACAACAAGCCUAGUGAAACUCUCUGAUGCCAAAUCUGAUGCAAACACUGAAAUCUGGCCACAUGGAUCACACAGAAAGCAGGAACACCCCAGAAAGAUGAGUGCAGAGCCAAGGAGUGUCAGAUGCAAGCAAGCAAGCCAAGGAAAGCCGUAUACUCACUCAUGACCAAAUUCAAAUAUUCAAGCACAUCCACAUGUUUUCAGCGGGUAAGAUGCCUGGACCAGCUUGGUAAAUCAACAGAUGAGAAAGGCCUCUAGCACUCCACAUGAAUACCAGAAAAUAUCAACAUAUCAAUUGCUGUAAUAAUAGAUAAGUUAUGGAAAAUGAACUCAGUCUGUGUUCUGAUUAUCAAGUCUUUACAAAACUUUGGAAGGUGAGUAAACGCUGCUAAAGAACAAUACAAUGCCAUGUGAGGAUUUGGUAGGCUGAUUUUGUAUUUUCUGUAUUUCAUAAUUUGUAUUGUAACUGCAGCUUGUUUUGCACAGCCCAUGGCAAUAAACCCAUGUGCAGUCUGCCAUGUA